rnacentral:rRNA from 1 species
CACGUAGGGCGCAAGCGUUGUCCGGAAUUAUUGGGCGUAAAGAGCUCGUAGGCGGUCUGUUACGUCUGCUGUGAAAACCCGGGGCUUAACCCUGGGCUUGCAGUGGAUACGGGCAGACUAGAGUUCGGCAGGGGGAGACUGGAAUUCCUGGUGUAGCGGUGAAAUGCGCAGAUAUCAGGAGGAACACCCGUAGCGAAGGCGGCACUCUGGGCCGAUACUGACACUGAGGAGCGAAAGCGUGGGGAGCGAACAGG